rnacentral:rRNA from 1 species
UACAGAGGAUGCAAGCGUUAUCCGGAAUGAUUGGGCGUAAAGCGUCUGUAGGUGGCUCUUUAAGUCCGCCGUCAAAUCCCAGGGCUCAACUCUGGACAGGCGGUGGAAACUACCAAGCUGGAGUACGGUAGGGGCAGAGGGAAUUUCCGGUGUAGCGGUGAAAUGCGUAGAUAUCGGAAGGAACAUCAGUGGCGAAAGCGGCUUCCUGGUCCAGCACCGACGUUCAGGCACGAAAGCGUGGGGAGCAAACAGG